rnacentral:rRNA from 1 species
AUUGAACGCUGGCGGCAGGCCUAACACAUGCAAGUCGAGCGGAUGAAGGGAGCUUGCUCCUGGAUUCAGCGGCGGACGGGUGAGUAAUGCCUAGGAAUCUGCCUGGUAGUGGGGGAUAACGUCCGGAAACGGGCGCUAAUACCGCAUACGUCCUGAGGGAGAAAGUGGGGGAUCUUCGGACCUCACGCUAUCAGAUGAGCCUAGGUCGGAUUAGCUAGUUGGUGGGGUAAAGGCCUACCAAGGCGACGAUCCGUAACUGGUCUGAGAGGAUGAUCAGUCACACUGGAACUGAGACACGGUCCAGACUCCUACGGGAGGCAGCAGUGGGGAAUAUUGGACAAUGGGCGAAAGCCUGAUCCAGCCAUGCCGCGUGUGUGAAGAAGGUCUUCGGAUUGUAAAGCACUUUAAGUUGGGAGGAAGGGCAGUAAGUUAAUACCUUGCUCUUUUGACGUUACCAACAGAAUAAGCACCGGCUAACUUCGUG